rnacentral:rRNA from 1 species
UUGCAAAGGUACAUAAUAAUUAGUUUAUUAAUUGUAAGAUUGUAUGAAUGAAUGAAUAAGAUUUUUGUUGUCUCUUUUUUAUUUUUUGAAUUUUAUUUUUUUAUGAGAAAGUUAAAAUUUUUUAUAGAGGACGAGAAGACCCUAUAAAUCUUUGUAAUGUUUAAUUUUAAAAGAUGAGAUGAAAGAUUGGAUGUUUUGGCUGGGGCGGUUGAAAGGAGUUUUAACUCUUUUGUUAAUAUUGUUAAGAUUAUAAUGGAUUGUUGUUUUGUAGUGAUCCUCUAUUAUUGAGAAUAGAGAUUAAUAGAUAAAGUUACUUUAGGGAUAACAGCUUAAUUGUUUUUGAAAGUUCUUAUUGAUGAAAGAGUUUGUGACCUCGAUGUUGGAUUAAAUAAAUUAAUAGUGUAGUAGUUAUUUUGUUUUUAGUCUGUUCGACUUUAAUAGUUUACACGAUUUGAGUUCAGACCGGA